rnacentral:rRNA from 1 species
UACAGAGGUGGCAAGCGUUGUUCGGAAUUACUGGGCGUAAAGGGCGCGUAGGCGGUCUUCUAAGUUCCGUGUGAAAUCCCUCGGCUCAACUGGGGAAUGGCACGGAAAACUGGAAGGCUUGAGUUCGGGAGAGGGAAGCGGAAUUCCGGGUGUAGCGGUGAAAUGCGUAGAUAUCCGGAGGAACACCGGUGGCGAAGGCGGCUUCCUGGACCGACACUGACGCUGAGGCGCGAAAGCUAGGGGAGCAAACGGG